GUGUCACAGGAAAGGAGAUAGAGGUAAUCCUCUAAACAAGGGUGGAAGAGGCUCCUUUAGCCAUUAUGGCACAUACAUAGUUAAGGCAUUGCUACCUAUUCAUUAUUUCU
rnacentral:ncRNA from 1 species